rnacentral:snoRNA from 1 species
AAGACUAUACUUUCAGGGAUCAUUUCUAUAGUGUGUUACUAGAGAAGUUUCUCUGAACGUGUAGAGCACCGAAAACCCCGAGGAAGAGAGGUAGCGUUUUCUCCUGAGCGUGAAGCCGGCUUUCUGGCGUUGCUUGGCUGCAACUGCCGUCAGCCAUUGAUGAUCGUUCUUCUCUCCGUAUUGGGGAGUGAGAGGGAGAGAACGCGGUCUGAGUGGUUUUUCCUUCUUGAUGGCUCAAUGACAGAGACUAGCUCGUAAACUCCGGGCCGUUUCCGGGCUGUUCGCUCCUGCUUGGCAAUGUCGCGAGAAAGGUUUUCGCCUCCUGUUUCAGCGGUGACGGCUUUUGGGUUUUCCUCGGGGUGGCUUUUUAAUUUUAGUCUUGGCGCGAGGCGGGGGAUGCUGUGUGGCACCUCCUAUUGUCUCUUUUUGCGUUUUCUCCCAUUCUCGCUCCCUCUUUUGUCGCCGUUUCCCGCCCGCCACUCCCACCCCCAGACGGGGUCUCCGGGUCUCUUGUUCUGUCUGCCGGCCCCGGCUGGAGUGCAGUGGCGCGAUCUCGGCUCCUAGCAACAUCUGCCUCCCGGGCUCAAGCGAGUCUCCCGCCUAAGCCCUCCCGAGUAGCCGGGGCUUAAAGGCGCACACGCCACUCCAGGCUUUUUUUUUUUUUUUUUUUUUUUUUUUUGGCAGAAACGGGGUGUCAGCAUGUUAGCCAGGCUGGUCUCCAACGCGUGAUCUCAGGUGAUCCGCCCGCCUCGGCCUCC